rnacentral:rRNA from 1 species
CAGUCGAGCGAGAAGGCCUUCGGGCUGAGUACAGCGGCGGACGGGUGAGUAACGCGUAGGAAUCUACCUGGUAGUGGGGGACAACAUGGGGAAACUCAUGCUAAUACCGCAUACGCCCUAUGGGGGAAAGCGGGGGACCUUCGGGCCUCGCGCUAUCAGAUGAGCCUGCGUAGGAUUAGCUUGUUGGUGAGGUAAAGGCUCACCAAGGCGACGAUCCUUAGCUGGUCUGAGAGGAUGAUCAGCCACACUGGAACUGAGACACGGUCCAGACUCCUACGGGAGGCAGCAGUGGGGAAUAUUGCGCAAUGGGCGAAAGCCUGACGCAGCCAUGCCGCGUGUGUGAAGAAGGCCUUCGGGUUGUAAAGCACUUUCAAUUGGGAAGAAAGGUUGCGUGUUAAUAGCACGUAGCUGUGACGUUACCUUUAGAAGAAGCACCGGCUAACUCCGUGCCAGCAGCCGCGGUAAUACGGAGGGUGCGAGCGUUAAUCGGAAUUACUGGGCGUAAAGCGCGCGUAGGCGGUUUGUUAAGUCGGAUGUGAAAGCCCCGGGCUCAACCUGGGAAUUGCAUUCGAUACUGGCCGACUAGAGUACGAGAGAGGGAGGUAGAAUUCCACGUGUAGCGGUGAAAUGCGUAGAUAUGUGGAGGAAUACCGGUGGCGAAGGCGGCCUCCUGGCUCGAUACUGACGCUGAGGUGCGAAAGCGUGGGUAGCAAACAGGAUUAGAUACCCUGGUAGU